rnacentral:rRNA from 1 species
ACGAACGCUGGCGGCGUGCUUAACACAUGCAAGUCGAACGGUGAAGCGCCUUCCUUUUUGGUGGGUGUGGAUGAGUGGCGAACGGGUGAGUAACACGUGAGUAACCUGCCCCCUUCUUCUGGAUAACCGCAUGAAAGUGUGGCUAAUACGGGAUAUUCUGGGUCUGUCGCAUGAUGGGUCUGGGAAAGAUAUUGUUUCGGUGGGGGAUGGGCUCGCGGCCUAUCAGCUUGUUGGUGGGGUGAUGGCCUACCAAGGCGGUGACGGGUAGCCGGCCUGAGAGGGUGGACGGUCACACUGGGACGGAGACACGGCCCAGACUCCUACGGGAGGCAGCAGUGGGGAAUAUGGCACAAUGGGCGCAAGCCUGAUGCAGCGACGCCGCGUGAGGGAUGGAGGCCUUCGGGUUGUGAACCUCUUUCGCCAGUGAAGCAGGCCUGCCUCGUUUGUGGGUGGGUUGACGGUAGCUGGAUAAGAAGCGCCGGCUAACUACGUG